CCGCGCCGCGCCGCGUCGUAUUCACGUGCGUAAGGAGACUCGCUUCUCGCCGACAAAUACCGUGAACCGCAAAGAACUCAGCUGUGAAUAAACACAAAUAACAACUUCGACAACCAAAUAAAAACAUUUAGUGCACCCAAACAGUGAACUGGACAAUCUGUGUGUCAUACCCAGUGUCAGCAACGUUUAAAAAACGUAAUCUUUCUAAGCAUCUCGUCGUGUGCUGUCCGGAUACUCAUGUGUCAGCCCCUUCAUUGAAUUGCCAAGGAGAUUAUAAGCGGUAUGUUGACGCCAGCUGUUUAGAAAUCGCUCGCGUUUAGAAGUUCGCUAAUCGGUAAAC